UCACGUCAUCCGCGGAAGAAGGGUGAGGACAGCACAGCGAGGCACCGAGCAAGCAGUCUCCAAGCAUGAAACAUCAUUCACCUCAUUUCAGACAGAUCCUGUGACAAAUUACAGCCUCCUCAGACAUUAAAAAUACAUUGAUCAAGAGAAGUUGUAAGACAUGGAAGAAAAAUUAAUCCAUACCCCUCUGAGAAAGAAAAGAAAGAACCACUUUUCUGAAUUACCUUUGAGCUGAACAGACCAUUGAGUUUUUAAAGUACCUGCCAGUUUCACAUCCCUUCUGAGUAGGAUCAUUUUGCGAGAGUGCAGUCUCUGCUGUACCAAAUGUUAUUGAGGAUAUGAAGAAACUGGAACUCAUACACACUCCUGGAGGGGAUGUAAAAUGAUACUGCCACUUUGGACAACAGCUUGAUAGUUUCAUAUAAAGGAGAGAGAGAGAUAGACAGCGUGAGCAGGGGAGGGUCAGAGAGAG